rnacentral:rRNA from 1 species
CCUACGGGAGGCAGCAGUGGGGAAUAUUGGGCAAUGGGGGAAACCCUGACCCAGCAACGCCGCGUGGAGGAAGAAGGUUUUCGGAUCGUAAACUCCUGUCCUCAGGGAAGAGCAGAAGACGGUACCUGAGGAGGAAGCCCCGGCUAACUACGUGCCAGCAGCCGCGGUAAUACGUAGGGGGCAAGCGUUGUCCGGAAUGAUUGG